rnacentral:rRNA from 1 species
UACGUAGGGUGCGAGCGUUGUCCGGAAUUAUUGGGCGUAAAGAGCUCGUAGGCGGUGUGUCACGUCGGCCGUGAAAACCUGCAGCUUAACUGUGGGCGUGCGGUCGAUACGGGCAUCACUGGAGUUCGGCAGGGGAGACUGGAAUUCCUGGUGUAGCGGUGAAAUGCGCAGAUAUCAGGAGGAACACCGGUGGCGAAGGCGGGCCUCUGGGCCGAUACUGACGCUGAGGAGCGAAAGCGUGGGGAGCGAACAGG